rnacentral:rRNA from 1 species
UACGUAGGGGGCGAGCGUUGUCCGGAUUUAUUGGACGUAAAGAGCUCGUAGGCGGCUUGGUAAGUCAGGUGUGAAACCUCCAGGCUCAACCUGGAGACGCCACUUGAUACUGCCAUAGCUAGAGUCCGGUAGGGGAGCGUGGAAUUUCUGGGUGUAGCGGUGAAAUGCGCAGAUAUCAGGAGGAACACCGAUGGCGAAGGGCAGGUCUCCGUGGGCAUUGAA